rnacentral:rRNA from 1 species
CUGAGUUUACUAUUAUCAAUUUGUGUAAAUUUUUUUUCAAAAAAAUAACUUAUGCAAUAUGGAUCUUAUUUUGACGAUCAAGAAAAUAGCUUUAAUUUAAUAUAUGGUGUGUGAAAAAAUAAUUUAAGAUGACUGAAAUAUAAUCAUUUAAAGUUUUUUAAUAAUUUUGGAGGAGAGAGAAGAAAAAAGAAAAACAUUCAUUAAUCAUGCAUGGGUUUUUGCGAGACAUUUUUACUCUUGUUGCAUAUCAUGAUAUACAUUUACUGCAUCACAUUAAUUAAAAAGGUGGAUCAACCUGGACUGUUGAUUUAAUUAGAUCUACGGAUGAUAUUCACUAGUAUAUAUCACACAGAAACCCCUAUGCGCCUGAAUAAGACCAUAUAUAUAUAUAUAUAGGGUCGCGUUAUUGUGCAUAGGGCCCUUGGUGUGAUAAAUGAUGUAAGAUCUCGUACGUCCGUGUAAAAAAUGGACGCAGAUCCGCUAGGCACAUCUCCAGUUAUUCAAAUACAUUUUGUGUGUGUGGUCGCAUUAUUGUGCAAGGAUCAUUCAAAUUUUUGUCCUAUCAACUUUCGAUGGUAGGAUAGUAGCCUACUAUGGUGGUGAUGGGUGACAGAGAAUUGAGGUUCAAUUUCAGAAAAGGAGCCUGAGAAAUGGCUACCACGACCAAGGAAGGCAGUAGAUGCACAGGGAUCGGCAGAUGUUGCUUUUAGGACUUCGCCGACACCUUAUGAUAAAUCAAAGUAUUUAGAUUUUGGAGGGAGUACGGUCGCAAGGUUGAAACUUAAAGGAAUUGAUGGAAGGGCACCACCAAGAGUGGAUACUGCGGCUUAAUUUGACUCAACACAGGGAAACUUACCAACUCCAGACAUAGUAAGAUUGACAGACUGAGAUCUCUUUCUAGAUUCUAUGGAUGGUGGUGCAUGAUUGUUCUUAGUUGGUGGAGCGAUUUGUCUGGUUAAUUCCAUUAACGAACGAGACCGUAGCCUGCUAACUAGCUACAUGGAGGUAUCCUUCUGCAGCCAGCUUCUUAGAGGGACUACGACCUUUUAGGCUGCGUAAGUUUGAGGCAAUAACAUGUCUGUGAUUCCCUUAGAUGUUCUGGGCCGCAACUACAUUGAUGUAUUCAACGAGUUUAUAGCCUUGGCCGAUAGGGCCGGGUAAUCUUUGAAAUUUCAUCAUGAUGGGGAUAGAUUAUUGUAAUUGUUGGUCUUCAACGAGGAAUUCCUAGUAAGCGCGAGUCAUCAGCUUGUGCUGACUACGUCCUUGCCCUUUAUACACAUCGUCCGUUGCUCCGACCGAUUGAUUGGUCUAGUGACAUGUUUGGAUCGAGACGACGUGGACGAUCCGCUGCUCGAGACAUCGCGAGAAGUCCUUUGAACCUUAUCAUUUAGAUGAAAGAGAAAUCGUAAUAUGGUUUUUGUAGGUGAACCUGCGGAAA